CAGAGAAAGUUCGAGAAGAAAUAAAUCUAUUUUGCCUUGAUUGUUAACCAGAGUCUCUCCAAAGGAAUACCAGAAAUGCGUGUGUGGGUGGGUAGAGAGAUUACACUGAUGGUUGAGUGAAAUUGAUUGUUGUUCCUAGAGAAAAACAGUGAAUGUAAGAUAUUUCUGACACUUAAGAGGCUCUCUAGAGUGAAUGUGCAGUUCUUCCCUGGGACCAGGCAGCCGCUGACUGUUCAAUAAAGGGAGUAAUUACAUGUGCCCAAAUGGCUGGGUGUUGAACAAAGGGCAAUGUUACUGGUUUUCAACUUCUUCUAAAACUUGGAAGGAGAGUCAUCACAUUGCACAAAGCUACAGGCACAAUUGCUGGUAAUUCUAAACUUGGAUGAGCUGCUAAAAGUGAUAUGGUGGAGAAGUUAUCAAAUGAAAAAACAAGUUAAUGUGUUAAGUCACUCACCUACUAUUGUAAUGAUGACUACAGCUA